rnacentral:lncRNA from 1 species
CAUAUUUUUGAAAUUGACUUAAAAAUUACUAGUUGCAUGAUCAGUCUCGAGAAAACCCUGUACGUUUAGGCUGGUUUCAGGUUUACCAGACGUGUUGCUUAGGGGCCAUUCAAACAGAAUGGUCUAGAGAUGCUUUUUAAACUGUUUUUAACAUGAUCGCUGUGUUUUUCGAAUGUGCGAAAUUCUGCAAAAUAUGCAUAGUGUGACCACAAUGGUCAAACAUGUCCAUCUUUGGCGCAUGUAAAAUCAGCACAAAAUAACACAAAAACACAUUCUGUGUGAAUAGAUAUUAACAUAAAACCUGUUCUUGUAUUAAAAACAUUCUGACAUUCUGCAGUGUAAUCACUGACGUGCAUCCGAGACAAGGGAAAAGUGGAACGCAGCCCUAGUCAGUUGAGUAAAUGAUUCCAGUGACUCACAAAAUGUAAAAUAAUAUAAUAUAUUAUGUGACCCUGGACCACAAAACCAGUCUAAAGUCCCGCGGGUAUAUUUGUAGCAAUAGCCAGCAAUACAGUGUAUGAGUCAAAAUUAUCGAUUUUACUUUUAUGCCAAAAAUCAUUAGAAUAUUAAGUAAAGAUCAUGUUCCUUGAAGAUAUUAUGUAAAUUUCCUACCAUAAAUAUAUCAAAAUUAAAUUUUUGAUUAGUAAUAUGCAUUGCUAUGGACUUUAUUUGGACAACUUUAAAGGCAAUUUUCUCAAUAUUUAGAUUUUUUUUGCACCCUCAGAUUCCAGAUUUUCAAAUAGUUGUAUUUCGGCCAUAUAUUGUCCUAUCAUAACAAACCAUACAUCAGUGGAAAGCUUAUUAAUUCAACUCGUUUCUUUAUUUCUCAUGUCUAUUAAGGUUCAAGUGACACAGUUGAUGAUGAAGACACUUCCACAGGGUCUACUCAGCAGACUGUCUACAGCAGCAGCCCCAGCUCAGAGUCCUCCAUUUCCAAAGAGAUGGACAAAACCAGCAUAGACCCAUUCAUUAAUUCAGACAUGGCACCAAAGAUCUCUGACUAUACGACAGAAAAGCCCCAGGUCACUGUUGAAGCCACCAGCUCACAGAGUGCUGUCCCACUUCAUGAGGUUCCCUUAGAAAGUAUCCUCAAGCGGACAGAAGUGCUGGCAGGUAUGUUCAAAAUGAACAACAUACAAGAGUGUUUCUUCAAUUAG